rnacentral:rRNA from 1 species
GACGAACGCUGGCGGCGUGCUUAAUACAUGCAAGUCGAACGGAAAGGCCCUGCUUUUGUGGGGUGCUCGAGUGGCGAACGGGUGAGUAACACGUGAGUAACCUGCCCUUGACUUUGGGAUAACUUCAGGAAACUGGGGCUAAUACCGGAAAGGAGCUCCUGCUGCAUGGUGGGGGUUGGAAAGUUUCGGCGGUUGGGGAUGGACUCGCGGCUUAUCAGCUUGUUUGUGGGGUAGUGGCUUACCAAGGCUUUGACGGGUAGCCGGCCUGAGAGGGUGAACGGCCACAUUGGGACUGAGAUACGGCGCAGACUCCUACGGGGGGCAGCAGUGGGGAAUAUUGCAGAAUGGGCGGAAGCCUGAGGCAGCAGCGCCGCGUGCGGGAUGACGGCCUUCGGGUUGUAAACCGCUUUCGCCUGAGACGAAGAGUGAGUGACGGUAAUUGGUAAAGAAGCACCGGCUAACUACGUG